rnacentral:rRNA from 1 species
CAGUAGCCGCGGGAAUACGUAGGGUGCAAGCGUUAAUCGGAAUUACUGGGCGUAAAGCGUGCGCAGGCGGUUGUGUAAGACAGGUGUGAAAUCCCCGGGCUUAACCUGGGAACUGCGCUUGUGACUGCACAGCUAGAGUAUGGCAGAGGGGGGUGGAAUUCCACGUGUAGCAGUGAAAUGCGUAGAGAUGUGGAGGAACACCGAUGGCGAAGGCAGCCCCCUGGGCCAAUACUGACGCUCAUGCACGAAAGCGUGGGGAGCAAACAGGAUUAGAUACCCCGGUAGUCCCUGUCUCUUAUAC